UACGUAGGGGGGCAAGCGUUGUCCGGAUUUUAUUGGGCGUAAAGAGCGUGUAGGCGGCCUGAAAGGUCAGCUGUGAAAACUCGAGGCUCAACCCUCGAGACGUCGGUUGAAACCAUCUGGCUAGAGUCCGGAAGAGGAGUGUGGAAUUCCCGGUGUAGCGGUGAAAUGCGCAGAUAUCGGGAAGAACACCCGUGGCGAAGGCGGCUCUCUGGGACGGUACUGACGCUGAGACGCGAAAGCGUGGGGAGCGAACAGG
rnacentral:rRNA from 1 species